rnacentral:lncRNA from 1 species
GGGGAGUCUGCUACUUUAAGAAGCAAGACCACCUCCUGCUGUCAAUGCUGAAAAGGACAGUCAUCUUCCUGGAGUCCAGAGGCCCUGCUGAUCAGGUGCCCCCACAGUGGACUUUGAAGCCAGAAGUUGGUAACAUCAAGGGUCAGAGACCAUGCAAAAUACGCUCUGGUGGCAGCUCUUCUAAAAAUAAGCCAACACAGUGCCUGAAUGUAACAUCUGCGGGGGACCUUUCUACAGGAUGAAGAGCAAAACAGGCAAGUACAUUUUUCUGUUGUUCUAUUUGCCUGUGGCUAUUAUCUUUCUGA